rnacentral:rRNA from 1 species
GACGAACGCUGGCGGCGUGCCUAACACAUGCAAGUCGAGCGAGAAACUUCGGUUUCUAGCGGCGGACGGGUGAGUAACACGUGGGUAACCUGCCUCAAAGAGGGGGAUAGCCUCCCGAAAGGGAGAUUAAUACCGCAUAGUAUUGAAUCUUCGCAUGAAGAUUUAAUUAAAGGAGCAAUCCGCUUUGAGAUGGACCCGCGGCGCAUUAGCUAGUUGGUGAGGUAACGGCUCACCAAGGCGACGAUGCGUAGCCGACCUGAGAGGGUGAUCGGCCACAUUGGAACUGAGACACGGUCCAGACUCCUACGGGAGGCAGCAGUGGGGAAUAUUGCACAAUGGGCGAAAGCCUGAUGCAGCAACGCCGCGUGAGUGAUGAAGGCCUUCGGGUUGUAAAACUCUGUCUUCUGGGACGAUAAUGACGGUACCAGAGGAGGAAGCCACGGCUAACUACGUGCCAGCCGCCGCAGUAAGAC